GGGGAGGAGGGCGGGCCGGCGGCAAGGGGGCGCCGGGCUGCCGGGGGCGGGAGGGUGACGGGCGGGCUUCUCCUGCGCGCGGUCCCGCCGGCCCCUCCUACCCCCGCAGCCCCACCGCCGCCGCCUCGGCGGGGCCGGCUGGUCUCCGGAAGCCGCGCGGAGCAGACGCCGCGCCAGCGGGACGCACACCGGGCGGGCCCUCUCCCGGAGUCGUCCGCGGAGACCCUUCCCCGACACGCUUUAAGACUCCCCGUGCGCGCUGGGCACCCGGCUCAUGCAAUGAGCCCGAUCGCUCGGAACUCACGCGCCGCGCGGGGCAUUGUCGGGUCGUGGGAGUAGUCUUGGCGACAAAGGGAAAACGCGGCCCCUGCGCAUCCAUCCUUCACCCGCCGCUGCCCGGCUCCUCUCUGCGGGCCCGCUGCCGGCGUGCCGGGGCGCAGGUAGGGAGGUGCGGGCACCGAAGCAUCGCGCGUCGGGGCGGGCGUCCGGCCCGGGGCCCCGCGACCUGCGGCGCGUGCAGUCCGGAGGCAGGAGAGGAGCGGCGUGCCCCGCAGAUCUGAAGUCAGCGGACUAUGGAUUCUGCUGCCUUCUCUGCCUUUGGCUCACUCUGGUGACCUCGUGUCCCCUCCGGAGGCUCGGGCCCUCCAAUUUGGAAAAUGUAAAUAAUUGGCACGACCUCUUUUCUUCCAUUUCUCCUCAUUCUUUGUGGGAAAUGCUGGUAAAAAGUAUUUCACGUCCUGCAUGGGAAGAAAGAGUAUAGGCCCCCUUUUUAACAGCCAAAUGUGACCUUAAUCUCUUUGGUAAGUAUUUCAACGGAUAUAUUGUGUUAAAUUAUAUCACUUUGCAAAACAUCAUCUUUUUUUUUGAGGUGCUCUUAUAAAAAUCGCUUUUUAAACUGUGCGCAAAAACAAAGAGGGAAGAAAAAGAAUGUGCCAGGCACAAAGGCAACACCUCAAGGUCCAAAUUUAACAUUCUCUAAUGUGAUGGUUUUCCUUUAAGUAGGUUAAUAGAACGGGCUGAAAAUGGGACUUUUUUCCUCUGCAGAGUUAGUUUGAGGUAUAGGUCCCAAGAGUGGUAGUUGCAUGCCCAAUCACGAAGCAUUAGUUUGGAAUGGAAAACGACCCUUCCCAUGCAGUUCUCAGAUCCUCUAGGACACCCUCUCUGAUCACCUAUCUUAAAUUAACACCCCAUCACAGCCAAUUUCGUUGUCUUUGUUUUUUCUUUUUUUCUGAGGAAGAUUGUCCUUGAGCUAACAUCUGUUGCCAAUCUUUCUCUUUUUGCUUGAGGAUUGUUGCUGAGCUAACAUCUGUACCAAUCUUCCACUGUUUUAUGUGGGAUGCCACCACAGCGUGGCUUGUCAAGCGCUGCCAGGUCUGCACCCAGGAUCCCAACCUGCAAACCCCAGACUACUGAUGCAGAGAACACAAAUUUACCGACUACGCCACCAGGCUGGUCCCCCAAUUUCAUUGUCUUUAUACCACUUUUUACUAUCAUUUAGUUAUUUGUUUAUCGUCUGAAUUUCUCUGCCACGCUAGAAUGUAAACGCCGUGAGAGCAAAGACCUUGUCAGUCUCACUGUCAGCUGUGCCUGGCAAAUGGCAAGUGGUCUUUAUAGUCGGUCCUCCACAUCUGUGGGCUCCACACACAUCUGCAGAUUGAAAAGGCUAUGAUGGUUGCGUCUGUACUGAAUAUGAACAGACUUCCUUUUCUUGUCAUUAUUCCCUAAACAAUACUGUAUAGCAACUAUUUACAUUGCAUUUACAUUGUAUUAGGUAUUACAAGUAAUCUAGAGAUGAUUUAAAGUGUACAGGGGGAUAUGCUUAUAUUAUAUGCAAAUACUAUGCCAUUUUUUAUGAGGGACUUGAGUAUCCACAGAUUUUGGUAUCCACGGGGGUCGUGGAACCAAUCUCCUGCGAAUAGCGAGGGAGGAGUGUAUUUGUUAAGUGAGUGAGAGAGAAGGAUAGAAUUUCCUCUAAGCAUUUCUGAACCUUGUCGUCAAGACCCAGUUUUAGAGGGUGGCAGCGACUAUCACGAAAAGGGUGAGGGAGGCUGUGGGUUACACCAUCGUCAGUGAGGUGGACACAUCCGCCUUCAGGAAGGCAGUAGUUUAAUAGAUUAAUCCCAGUUAAUCCACCCACAGUCAUUUCCUUGUUGUAAAGACUUUAUGAGGCAAAAGGUGGCAGUGAGUCUUUGUGGGUAUGGAGGUAAGUUGGAGCCCAGUAGGGAGGGACUAGUGAAGGGGUGCCCUUGGCAGGGUGACACUUCAAGGUGGUUUCGCACCCAAUAUUAAAUGGACAAAAGUGUGGUGAGGAGUAGACAGCUACUGUUUUCAGCACGAACACUUCUCCGUCAUUUCGUUGGUUACUAAUACCCCAUCAUAGUUUAGAAAGAUCAAGCCAAAACAGAAAUUGUGUUUAAGAAGAUGAUGAUUAUAUAUAAAAGGAAAUAGUGCCUAAAAUAGAGAAAAGCUUAAAAAUCUAAAUUUGUUCUUUUCUUUGUAAGGGUGCGAUAUCCUUCUGUUUGUACUUGUAGCUUGCUGUUUUUCCUGUUUCCAUUUUCCUUUUUCUUUGCUUCAAAGCACUUGUCUGUUAGGAUUAAAAGAUGGUUUACUGAGUGAGUGCUCACCCCAGUUGCUACAGAGUAGCCACCACUUGGUCCUCCCUAGGCUAUGGUUCCUAUGGUCCUCCUCCCCCUGCUACCAGUAUUCCCCUUACGGCAGAACCCAGUCCUUUCCCAGGCCCCAAGACAGGCGCAAUUCUCACAGCUCCAGGCCCAAGCCCGGGACUCGGCCUCUGCCUGCCUUUGCUUCUUAAUUGGGGACGCUGCCUUGGCUCCUUUCUAAGAACUGAUUCGCAGCCCUUUUCUUGUGCUUGAAGCCCUGGCCUCUUAACCUGUGUGGAACUUGAUUUUCUCUGCCUGUCGUCUGGAGUCUGCUCCAGCCCUGCACCACAGACUCUGCUGUGCACUAACCGAUACCCGUGGUGGCAACAUUUAUUUGCCUCCCGCUCUUCGUUCCUAGAGUCUCUGCGUCCAUCUUCUAUCCCCUUAUCAGGCCUCCUCCCCCCGUCAUCUCAUGUUGGACAUCCUGCUACCUGCCACCCUCCUGGACCACCACCUGUUGUUUGCUCACUGCUCUCUGGCUAUCAGGUACUGCCUCGAGGUCUGGCGUGCCUCCCCACCCCAGCUCCCACUCCGCCUGCGCUAAAGCCUGUCCUUCCCCACCUGGUAGCAGUUCGCCCCCUUCGUCACCCUGCCUUUCUCUGUCCUGAGAGCAGUAAGUUUAUGACCGAUUUUACUUUGAUUAUAAUCUGUAUCUAUAUAGUUGUUUUUUGUUUGUAUCUGGUUAAAAAAUAAUCAAAGUGCAAUAGGGGUUUGUGUGUCUGUAUAUAUUAUAUUAGAUUAUACAUAUAUAUAUGGAAAACCCAUCUCUGAUUCUACUCCAGAAUUCCUUUGGGGCGAGUAGUCCAGAAAUCCCAGCAUCUGGAGCUGGGCAUGAUUCCCUUGUGAAUGACUUGUCAAAGGAAGGCAAGGUGUCAUGGUCAAGAUUCAAGCUGAGAUAAAGGGGAGAUACAAUCUUGGCUCAGGCAUCCUGAGCCAUUAACUGAGCAUGCUGUGCCUACUGUACGUGGUCUACACGGUUAUCCCGACAUAUGCCUAGGUGUGAUGUGGUGCCACCGAUGUGACCAGGCGUACUAGUUUAUCCGUCAGAGGUGUUGGGGGUACCCAUCCCUAUGCAAGACUUGAAGUUCCAGGGGACAGGGACGGGCUUAUUCUUACUCCAUUGUACCCCUGGGAUCUAGCGUGCUGCCUAGCACUCCAGUAGGUAGUCCAUAAAUACUUCAUGGAUGAAUGACUGAAUGUACUAGGCAUCAUAGUGGACUCCUGUCCUCUGAAAGCUUAAAAUCUAGUAAAUGUAAGACGUGCAUAAUUCCUUCAUUUGACGUUUGUUUCUGAGUCAGAGUUUAUUGCCAUUAAGAUAGUUGAUACUUCAUUUUGUUCUCUAUUGAGUUUGCCCUCAUUUAUUUACAUCAACUAAGGCGGGGUUUGGUUUUGGGGAGGGAUUCAUGGCAGUAUUUUUGAGGAUUAAUGAUAAAGCACUUCUCUUGAUGGGACUGGAGCCUAAAAGAUGCUGUACAUGAUAACACAGAGCUAUCAGUGACUUUGAAUUCCAACAAUUCAUUUUCAAUAAACAGUGUUUGAGUUCUGGA